CUUGUUUGCUGACUUAGUCGUACAAAAAAUGGAGAUCAUAGACGAAUUUUAUACGUUACUCUUCAUUACUUCAGCGAACGUGGACGGGCGGCGUGGAGUGUGGCCCGGUCUUUGUGAGCGACGCGCUGACGUCACGCGGCGCAGGCGCACUGGAUCGCUCCUUGACGUCCAGAAUAUGUAAAGCGUCUAGAUGAAUCAAGUUUAUUUAAUUAAUACAUUUUUAAUAUAAACUGUUA